rnacentral:rRNA from 1 species
UACGUAGGUGGCAAGCGUUGUCCGGAAUUAUUGGGCGUAAAGCGCGCGCAGGUGGUUUCUUAAGUCUGAUGUGAAAGCCCCCGGCUCAACCGGGGAGGGUCAUUGGAAACUGGGAGACUUGAGUGCAGAAGAGGAAAGUGGAAUUCCAUGUGUAGCGGUGAAAUGCGUAGAUAUAUGGAGGAACACCAGUGGCGAAGGCGACUUUCUGGUCUGUAACUGACGCUGAGGCUCGAAAGCAUGGGGAGCAAACAGG